rnacentral:rRNA from 1 species
GACGAACGCUGGCGGCGUGCUUAACACAUGCAAGUCGAACGGAAAGGCCCUGCUUUUGUGGGGUGCUCGAGUGGCGAACGGGUGAGUAACCCGUGAGUAACCUGCCCUUGACUUUGGGAUAACUUCAGGCAACUGGGGCUAAUACCGGAUAGGAGCUCCUGCUGCAUGGUGGGGGUUGGAAAGUUUCGGCGGUUGGGGAUGGACUCGCGGCUUAUCAGCUUGUUGGGUGGGUAGUGGCUUACCAAGGCUUUGACGGGUAGCCGGCCUGGGAGGGUGACCGGCCACAUUGGGACUGAGAUACGGCCCAGACUCCUACGGGAGGCAGCAGUGGGGAAUAUUGCACAAUGGGCGGAAGCCUGAUGCAGCAACGCCGCGUGCGGGAUGACGGCCUUCGGGUUGUAAACCGCUUUCGCCUGUGACGAAGCGUGAGUGACGGUAAUGGGUAAAGAAGCACCGGCUAACUACGUG